rnacentral:rRNA from 1 species
CAAUAGCGUAUAUUAAAGUUGUUGCAGUUAAAAAGCUCGUAGUUGGAUUUCUGGUGGGAGCGAUCGGUCUGGCGCUUAGCGCGAGUACUUGCAUCGUCUCCGGCCAUCCUUGGGGAAAGUCUGUCUGGCAUUAAGUUGUCGGGCAGAGGAUCCUCAUCGUUUACUGUGAAAAAAUUAGAGUGUUCAAAGCAGGCUUAUGCCGUUGAAUAUAUUAGCAUGGAAUAAUAAGAUAGGACUUUGGUACUAUUUUGUUGGUUUGCGCACCAAAGUAAUGAUUAAUAGGGACAGUUGGGGGUAUUCGUAUUCCGUUGUCAGAGGUGAAAUUCUUGGAUUUACGGAAGACGAACUACUGCGAAAGCAUUUACCAAGGAUGUUUUCAUUAAU